AAAGCAACUGCCUUCCAUACUUCCAACAUGACACAAAAGUCACUGAAGUCAACAUAGGAAUUCCACACUGGCUUUGCUAAGAGCAUCACCCAGCUUCCAGCACGGCUACAGCUGCAGGAAAGGACUGGCAGCUAACACAGUAAUGAUUUAUGGAAGGGGACAGAGAGAAAAUCUGGAGCCAAAGCCAUGAGAGAGCAGGUGGCAGAAGCUCUGAAAGACCUUCCUUACAUUCAUGAAACGAGGGUGGGUGGAUAGAUCUCACAGUAGAACAACACCAUCAGCCUGCACCUCCAGUCUUGUGUGGGGCAGAUUCUUAGGUGGUGUAGAUUGGUGUAACACUAUUGAAGCCAGUGGAAUAAUACAGAUUUAUCUUC